rnacentral:rRNA from 1 species
UACGGGGGGAGCAAGCGUUGUUCGGAUUUACUGGGCGUAAAGGGCGCGUAGGCGGCCACCGCAAGUCGACUGUGAAAUCCCCGGGCUCAACCUGGGAACUGCAUUUGUGACUGCAUCGCUGGAGUACGGCAGAGGGGGAUGGAAUUCCGCGUGUAGCAGUGAAAUGCGUAGAUAUGCGGAGGAACACCGAUGGCGAAGGCAAUCCCCUGGGCCUGUACUGACGCUCAUGCACGAAAGCGUGGGGAGCAAACAGG